CGAGUGAUGAAACUGUCGAAUCCGUGUUUCAGCUGAGCCGUACUGCUGACAGCGUUUCUUGAUCUGUUUGACUUCUGACGCG
rnacentral:snoRNA from 1 species